rnacentral:rRNA from 1 species
UACAGAGGGUGCAAGCGUUAAUCGGAUUUACUGGGCGUAAAGCGUGCAUAGGCGGUUUGCUAAGUCGGUUGUGAAAGCCCUGGGCUUAACCUGGGAAUUGCAGUCGAUACUGGCGGACUAGAGAACGGUAGAGGGAGGCGGAACUCCAGGUGUAGCGGUGAAAUGCGUAGAUAUCUGGAAGAACACCGAUGGCGAAGGCAACCUCCUGGGCCUGUUCUGACGCUGAGGCACGAAAGCGUGGGUAGCAAACAGG